rnacentral:rRNA from 1 species
AGAGUUUGAUCAUGGCUCAGAACGAACGCUGGCGGCAUGCCUAACACAUGCAAGUCGAACGCUCGCCCGGCUUCGGCCGGGUGGGAGUGGCGCACGGGUGAGUAGCGCGUGGGUGACCUGCCUUCGAGCGGGGGAUAACGUUCCGAAAGGGACGCUAAUACCGCAUAACAUCCUGUCUUUUAAGAGGUGGAGAUCAAAGCCUGGGACCGCAAGGCCAGGCACUCGAAGAGGGGCCCGCGUCCGAUUAGCUAGUUGGUGGGGUAAUGGCUCACCAAGGCUCCGAUCGGUAUCCGGCCUGAGAGGGCGGACGGACACACUGGGACUGAGACACGGCCCAGACUCCUACGGGAGGCAGCAGUGGGGAAUUGUUCGCAAUGGGCGCAAGCCUGACGACGCAACGCCGCGUGGAGGAUGAAGAUCUUCGGGUCGUAAACUCCUUUCGAUCGAGACGAACGGCUUCCGGGUAACAUCCGGGAGAGUGACGGUACCGAGAGAAGAAGCCCCGGCUAACUCCGUGCCAGCAGCCGCGGUAAUACGGGGGGGGCAAGCGUUGUUCGGAAUUACUGGGCGUAAAGGGCUCGUAGGUGGCCAACUAAGUCAGACGUGAAAUCCCUCGGCUUAACCGGGGAACUGCGUCUGAUACUGGAUGGCUUGAGUUUGGGAGAGGGACGCGGAAUUCCAGGUGUAGCGGUGAAAUGCGUAGAUAUCUGGAGGAACACCGGUGGCGAAGGCGGCGUCCUGGACCAACACUGACACUGAUGAGCGAAAGCCAGGGGAGCAAACGGGAUUAGAUACCCCAGUAGUCC